CCCCAUCGGCCCUUCCCUCAACUCUGGUGGCUCCGACGACCCGCAGUUCAAGCAGCUCGUCGCCGGCCUAGGCGCCGGGGCUUCAGUCCUGGGAGGUCUCCUGUCCGCCGCCGGCGUAGGCGCCGGCACAGGCACAGGCGGGGCUUCAGCCCUGGGAGGUCUCCUCACCGCCGCCGGCCUAGGCGCCGGCACAGGCACAGGCGAGGCUUCAGCCCUGGGAGGUCUCCUCACCGCCGCCGGCCUAGGCGCCGGGGCUUCAGUCCUGGGAGGUCUCCUCUCCGCCGCCGACCUCCUGACCAGGUAUAUGGCCCCCGGCUCCUCGGGCUCCGAGAUCGGGCUCUCCACCGGCGGAUCCACCGGGAC
rnacentral:lncRNA from 1 species